AAGAUCUUAAGUUAAACAAACUAGAAGACUUCAAACCUUCCAAUAUGAGUACAAACCUCCUAGGUCUUA
rnacentral:tRNA from 1 species